rnacentral:rRNA from 1 species
CGCAGCCGCGGUAAUUCCAGCUCCAAUAGCGUAUAUUAAAGUUGUUGCAGUUAAAAAGCUCGUAGUUGAAUUUCGGGGUCAGUAGGUUGGUCGUGCCACUGGUACGUACUGGCCUCACUGAUUCCUCCUUCCUGAUGAGCCGUAAUGCCAUUAAUUUGGUGUUGCGAGGAAUCUGGACUGUUACUUUGAAAAAAUUAGAGUGUUUAAAGCAGGCUAACGCUUGAAUACAUUAGCAUGGAAUAAUGAAAUAGGACGUUUGAUCUUAUUUUGUUGGUUUCUAAGAUUGACGUAAUGAUUAAUAGGGAUAGUUGGGGGCAUUAGUAUUCAAUUGUCAGAGGUGAAAUUCUUGGAUUUAUUGAAGACUAACUACUGCGAAAGCAUUUGCCAAGGAUGUUUUCAUUAAUCAGGAACGAAAGUUAGGGGAUCGAAGACGAUCAGAUACCGUCGUAGUCUUAACCAUAAACUAUGCCGACUAGGGAUCGGAUGAUGUUAAUUUUUUAAUGACUCA